UCAUCAUUUAAGCCGACAGGUUUGCCAUAUUGAUGGUAGGGAAGGGGGUGUAAAUCCCCCGCAGCCCCCGCUGCUGUGAUGCUGACGACCCCGUGUACACCACUGAUCGCAAGAUUGGGAAGGACGGGCGAGGAGGACGCUAAGCCAGAAGACCUGCCCGUCGGUAACUACCAAC
rnacentral:ncRNA from 2 species